ensembl:lncRNA
AGGAUACAAAAAUGAGUUUAAAUUUUAGCGAUGAUGAAGAUGAAGUUUACGAAAAAGAAGGAAUAGAAAGUAAUAAUGACGUACGUGAUGGUGAUGAUGGUGAUAAUGUGAAACCUAAACUGAGUAACAAUUUUUUUACUGAAAAAAACGAUUAUGGUGAUUUAAAUGAGGAUGUGUAUGGUGAAGAGCCAAAGGAAGAUGUCAGAGGAGAAGAAGAAGCGAACGAAGGAAUGAAAAAAGCUAGAAAAAAAAGCAUAACAUUUCAGUUGAAAAGUUUGUUUAAUGAUGUAGCUGUAGAAAAAAUCAAUAAUUUUAUUAAAAAGAAAAGAAAAAGUGCAUAUAGAAAUAGUUUAGGUGGUAGAAGGUCUUCGUUUGGUAAUGAAGGUGGUGAAAAUAAUGAUAACAUGGGGGAUGAUAGCGAAUUGGAUGAGGAAACUGAAGAAGAGAAAAUAAGACGAUAUGUAAAAGAGCAAAAUGAGAAAAUAAAACAGAUUUUACCUGAAAAAGACGAAUUCUGGGAUAUUUAUAUGUAUUUGAAUUUAAAAAAAAAGAGAAGAAAAAUAGAUUAUAAUGAAAAAGAAUAUACCGCAGCUGUAAAUAAAGUAUUAGAGGCUAUAAAAAAUGAAUAUAAAAAUAUAUUAAAUGAAAAACUUUUUAAAAAUGAAAAACUAAAAGAAUAUUUGAUUAUUACAGAUUCAGAAACUUUUUACAAAAAUAGUAUGGUCGAAAACAUAGACAAAAAUUUAACUUUUCCUAUUAUUCGUAAAUCUAACUUGUUAACUGAAAUGAAAAAAGGAUUAUUACAGUUAUAUUAUAAAGGGAACUGCUUUAAUUAUUUAAAAGAAAUAAAUUAUGAACAUGUUAAUGCUAAUGAAGGAAAAGAAGGGUACGAAGGGUACGAAGAUACAUAUGAUGAAAAGUAUACAUACAACAAUGGUUAUAGAGUAAACCAUAAAAAUCAUUCUGAUUAUUACUAUUAUGAUAAAAACAGAAUGAAUAAAAUUAAUGAAAAUGCAAUAAUCGAAUCGGAAAAAAUAAAUCUUGAGCUAGCUCGAUUAUACAACAAAUAUAACAUAAUGAUACAAAAAAUAAAACAGCAUAAAAAAAAAAGCAUAAGAACAAAUCUUAAUUUAUUUAUGAGUUUAAUUACUGAAGUUUUUUCCAAAUUAUAUUUAACUAUGAAUAAUGCUUUAUUAACAUAUGACAAAAAUACUAAUUUGGUAGACUUAUAUAAAACCAUUCGUCGUAAAUAUAAUAUUCACGAUGUCUUAUCAAAAAUACAAAAAUUAACAAAAAAAAAAGAAGUAUAUGAACAUUAUCGUUCAUAUUUAUUAUAUAAAUAUAAAACGACAUACGAUACUUGUCAUAAUAUGUUUAAUGAACAUGUAAUGCAAGAUAGUAUAAAUGUGUUUAAUUUUAAACAAUUUUACAAUACCGAAUUUUCAAGUGAUGACUUUGGUUCUAUACUAGAGCAGCAAAAUGAAGAAGAACACAUGUUUUCAUCGUCAGCCUUUGCAAAAAAAUAUAAUUUAAACACAAAUAUACAUAGUAAUAAAGCUGAUGCAACAAAAGAAGCAGAAAAAACACAAUAUAUGAACGAUGAGGUAUAUAGUCAUGAUACCUUUUUCGACAUAAAUGCUCCAAAUAAAGUGCCUGGUAGUGGUCAAGUGGGAACAGAUGAGCAGCAUCCUGCGGUGAGUACUCCCACCGUCGCCAAAGUUGCCUCAACUGCUACUACUGCUGCUACUACUGCUGCUACUACUGCUGCUACUACUGCUGCUACUACUACUACUACUAUCCCAAAUGAUGAUCAAAAUAAAGAGCCCACAAAUGAGACUCCACUAGAAAGAGCUAAAAGAUUAGCUAGAGAAAAGAAACAGAAACUUAUGGAGAGUAGGGUAAAGGUUAUAUAAAAAAAAAGAAAAAAAAAAAAAAAAAAAAAAGUGGCUCCAUGUUUUACACAUGAUGUUAAUCGUGUAAUGAUUAAUCAAUAACAUGGCUUAUACCAUCUGUGUAUACUACAUAAGCUGGUUAUUAUU